GCUGUCGGAUGAUUGGCUGGUGGCCGAUCGAAGUAGCGAAGGCCGCUGCUUGCCGUGUGUUGCCUCUGGAGGAUUUUAAGCUUUGCUGGUGAUUGGCCAUCUCCACUUGGAAAACACUAUGUGAGAAGUGAGGUUGUUUCAUGAAAAGGAAAUGUGAUGGAGGGGAAGAUUGACCUAUCAGGGGGAGUAAUGAGAAGUACCAAUUAUUGUGAUGGAUCUAGAGGAAAAUUCAUUUUGCACAUGAGGCCAUCCGUGCAUUGCAGCGGCUGGAGAGCAGAUGCCAUCUUCUUUCACAUAUUGGGUAUCUAGAUCCAAUUUCUAAGCAUCUAGGAAGGGGAAAACAAGCUACCACUAGCGCUGGUAUGCGCUGGAUGUUAACGUUGAGAGGACGGAUAACGUGGUGACGCAUCCCGACCUGGUUGGGGAGGCACCCUGAUAUUCAACCGGAAGAACCUACCAUGCUCCUCGAGUCAGAGUUGCACCGGGGCAACGGAUCCUCCCAGAUCUUGCUAGGAAAACAGUCUGAAGAUGGCUAGGUAUUUUCUAGAUUGUCCGUUCUUAGUUUCAGUGACUGGUAAGGAUGCAUUUCUUUCUUCCUUUUGGGUUGAUUUGGUUAUUGUUUGUCUUGGUUCUUGCAAAUUUCAGCUUGUGCUUUAAAAUGGAACAGUAAUGAUUGCAGCUAGGGACUAGGAGAGAAUCCCCAUUCUUAUAUAUCUAGAAAAACGGACAAUGGCGAUGGCAGCCGCACUCCAGUCCUUCCACUCCAGUCCUUCCUGGAAGGUGCUUUUGUCAUAUAAAAUGUGUUUCCUCCUUCACCUCUUCCACCCUCAUGGGCGCAGAAUGCCACACAACAGCGCAAAGCGUCUUGGUGCAGCCCUGCCGACAAGAGUUAAUGAGUUUUUGUGCUGUUUCUUUCCGCCAUGUGUUAUUUUAACCGGAGUGUAUUAUUGUAAUUCUCCAACAAGAUUUGGCUCAGCUCUCUCUAGACGGUAGAUGCACGUGUCUCUCUAGACGGUAGAUGCACGUGUCUGCUACUUGAUGUGGCUAUACAUGCUGAUGCAAUCCUAGAUGCUGCGCUUUCCACCUAAGCACUUCUGCGGACCAGGCCUAUGUUGAAGGACCUAAUUUGAGUUGUCUGCACUCUGCAGAAUGCCAGUUGACAAGGAGCUAAGAUUUAGGUCUCUCUAGGUGCUAGCAACAAGUAUCCAGUGCGUAGGAUAUUACUCGCAUUUGGUGCAGAUAUGGUCACAGAUAAUUCAAUAUAGAUGGCGUUGCUUCUACGUUAUGUAUGUCUGCAGUUACUGGCGGGUGCUGCAUCGUGGCAUAGUCUGCAGUUUCUUCUAUGUGCCGAAGAUUAUCCCUUAUUUUAUCCUUUCUUUAGCACUCCUAACCGGUGUAGCCAGUCCAUUUAGUAGAAGGUCAUAGUUCCUCUGUGUUUAGUCUUCACUUUUGCUUCUUUGCUACUAGCUUAUUGAUGUAGACAUAAAGAGUAAAACUAUGUAUACCAAGAAUAAGAUAGGUGUUUGGAAUGGCAUCAGGUCUAACCGUCUAACAA